AUUUGUAUUAGUUCUUGAUAUUUUUAAACUUGAUCUAAGAUUUUAAAAGUUUGUGUAUAAAAAGUCAGCAAGUGACAAGUUUAUGAAGAAAUUGGUCGUUUUCCCCCACGGUGGCUACUGGCUACCGAAACUUUAGUUUUUUUUUUUUUAUUUCACAAGAGUAAAUAAUGCAUUUUAAUGGUAGGUAAUUAGUUUAUGUUUUAUUAAAAUAAAAUAUUGCAUUUUGUUAUAUUAUUAGAUCUUUCAAGUUUUGACACAUUAAAUUUAAUGAUUGUGAGAGAAAAUUUUCUUGCCGCUUUUUAUUUAUUUAUUCCAUUCCAUGCUUUUUAUGUAAAAUGUCAUCUCUUUGUCUGACAAUUUGAAUGUUUUAGAUCCAUGGAGAUGAUGGUUAGUGAUAUUCUCAUGUGGCACUGGGGAUUCAAACUUCAUGGCUCAGAUUUGUGGUGUUAGAUCUUUCAAGUUUUGACACAUAUUAAAACACAUCUCAAAUUAAAAUCAUAACUAAUUGUUAAUUUAGGAUCUGUCCACGAUUAGUGUUAAACAUGUUAUGCCAUUAAUUUUGAUACUAUCUUUUAUCAAACGAGUUACUUAGGAAUGAAUACAUAUUAAACACUUUAACCUUGAUUAGAGAAAACACUUUAGCCAGAAAACAAGCAACAUGGUGAGCAUAGAAAAUUCUUGAAUAAUAGAGGAGAAGGUACAGGGAACUAUAGUGAGCAACCACUACUAAUCCACUUCCCGUUAAUACGUGCUUACCGUCCAUUAGUCUUGUUCGGAUUCUUCUGCAGAUCUAAGAUGGUUUGGGCCUCUCCUGGUUAACGGCGUGACAUUAGUACUAAUGAGAAGUGAUGUAGUGGGUGGUCUUGCUUCAAAAAUAUGUUGAUGUGUUCUCGGUGGAGCUCACUUCUUGUUUUGAAAACGUCAAUCUAAAUUUUUGCUAAGAUUUCUCCAGCUGUGGGAAAAAUCAGUCGGUUGGAGGAUGCGAUGUAGGUCAAUCCAUCCACUGAUUCCAAAACGAUGAAGCCAACAAAUUAUGUUUGCUUUUUUUAUCUCUUUCGUUUUCUCAAAUUUGGCGUCUCUCCUUCGUGUUAAGUGAUAGUAGUUGUCUUUCUAAUCGUUUUUUUGUAUUUAGAUCAGAUUGUUCAAUUCAUUGUUGAAAAUUGAUUUCUCAUUUUAGUUUGGGGCUUAUCAGCGCUAGGUUUCCAUUUGUCAAUAUGCAUCGGUUUUAGGUUUUACACCAUUCCAAUCUGGUUUGGUGAUUUGAUAUGAUUUUUCAAGUUAUUUUUACUUUAUUCCAGCUGAUACUUUUUUUGUAUUUUUCAAAAAAUAGGAAGCUCGUAAAAACGUUAUAGUAUAUAUUAUUUAUAUUAACAUAACUAUAUUAUCGUAAAUAGAAGAUAAAGUAUAUAUUAUUUAAAUAGUUUGGUUCUGUAUGUCUUUUCUUAAAAAGGACUGUGCGUGUAAAUAUGAAUUAGAUUGACCAAGUAUAAUUUAUACAAACAUAUUUAUGAAACUUUUUUUUUUGAACAUUUAGGAAACUUAGGUAAGUAGAUGUAUGUUUGCUCUAAUUAUAAUAAGACAGUUUUAUCUAUAAUGAAGGUUAAAAAAUUAUUUGAAAAUAUAGUGGUAAAAAUCUGGUAAUACCACGUUAAGUUAAUGUUAAAUUAAGGUUAAAAAUUUAUCUGAAAAUAUUAGUGUAUUUUUAAUAGUAUUGAUUUAGAUGGAAAAUAAUAAUUGGACAAGGCUUUGGAAAGGUCCGGUUUUCUGCGUCUCAUGUGUAAGACCAUCUCCAUCGGAGUGUCUUAAAGGGGGGUUCCAAAGAAAAGGAAAACAAAAAUAAAUGAAAAAAUAUGAAAAUCCCCAGAACCGGUACUUAUUUUGGGAGUUUUAGAAUCGUUAAGGACCCUUACGUGUCAAGUUGUUAUUCCACCUCUUUUUUGUGUCUCUCUCUCCUCUCCUUCUUCGGUGAAAUCAAGCGUCCAUCUUCUCCAUGAUUCUGAUGUGGUGAGGAUCCGGAGCAAGCUCCGAGCGGUCUCGACGAAGCACAAGACUAAGCCCAAAGACGGAGAUGGUGGUGAGGAUCCGCAGCAAUCGAAGCUCCGAGCUGGGUUGGACUCUGCGAUUGUGAGGGAGAAGCCAAACAUUAAGUGGACUGAUGUCGCCGCAGUUCUUCACCGGAAAGAGACGGCCUUGGCGAGCUUUCUUGGCUAAGGCUGUUGCUACUGAAGCUGACUCUACGUUUUUUCAGGGAAAGUGAUUCUAGAGUCAGCGAUCUUGACAACGGUUGUGGUCCUUUCCCUCACCGUGUACACCUUUUUUCUUAUGGCAAUGUCAGAAAUUGGUGAUUUGUGUUUGUAUAUUAUAUGAGUUCUGUAACUCGUGAUAGGUUAACGGUACAGCGGAGAGGCCAAGGAUGUGCGUGUUUCGCUCGAACAAGCAUCUUUAUGUGCAAGUGAUCGAUGACACCAAGAUGCACACUUUAGCUUCUGCUUCCACCAAGAAGAAACCUAUCUCUGAGGAGUUUGAAUACACUUCUGGACCUACCAUUAUGUAUGUAUCCGAACCUUAAUCAAUUUAAAAAAAAAAAAUUAAGAACCUCAAUGAGGUU